rnacentral:rRNA from 1 species
UCGGGAAUUUUGCGCAAUGGGCGAAAGCCUGACGCAGCAACGCCGCGUGAGGGAUGACGGCCUUCGGUUGUAAACCUCUUUUGUUCAGGGAAGAUGAUGACGGUACCUGACGAAUAAAGCCACGGCUAACUACGUGCCAGCAGCCGCGGUAAUACGUAGGUGGCAAGCGUUGUCCGGAUUUACUGGGCGUAAAGAGCGCGCAGGCGGUCGAUUUAGUCGCGUGUGAAAGCCCCCGGCUCAACUGGGGAGGGUCACGCGAUACUGAUCGACUCGAAGGCAGGAGAGGGUAGUGGAAUUCCCGGUGUAGUGGUGAAAUGCGUAGAUAUCGGGAGGAACACCAGUGGCGAAGGCGACUACCUGGCCUGUUCUUGACGCUGAGGCGCGAAAGCUAGGGGGAGCAAAACGGGGAUUAGGAUACCCCCGGGUAGUCCCUAGCCGUAAACGAUGGACACUAGGUGUUGGUGGUAUCAACCCCGCCAGUGCCGAAGCUAACGCAUUAAGUGUCCCGCUGGGGAU